GAUGAACGCUGGCGGCGUGCUUAACACAUGCAAGUCGAACGGAAAGGCCCAAGCUUGCUUGGGUACUCGAGUGGCGAACGGGUGAGUAACACGUGGGUGAUCUGCCCUGCACUUCGGGAUAAGCCUGGGAAACUGGGUCUAAUACUGGAUAGGACCACUUCUUGGAUGUUGUGGUGGAAAGUUUUUUCGGUGUGGGAUGAGCUCGCGGCCUAUCAGCUUGUUGGUGGGGUAAUGGCCUACCAAGGCGUCGACGGGUAGCCGGCCUGGGAGGGUGUACGGCCACAUUGGGACUGAGAUACGGCCCAGACUCCUACGGGAGGCAGCAGUGGGGAAUUUUGCACCAUGGGCGCAAGCCUGAUGCAGCGACGCCGCGUGGGGGAUGACGGCCUUCGGGUUGUAAACUCCUUUCGCUAGGGACGAAGCGUUUUGUGACGGUACCUGGAGAAGAAGCACCGGCUAACUACGUG
rnacentral:rRNA from 1 species